rnacentral:rRNA from 1 species
AUUGAACGCUGGCGGCAGGCCUAACACAUGCAAGUCGAGCGGAGAGGCGGACGGGUGAGUAAUGCCUAGGAAUCUGCCUGGUCGUGGGGGAUAACGUACGGAAAUGGGCGCUAAUACCGCAUACUAUCAGAUCAGCCUAGGUCGGAUUAGCUAGUUGGUGGGGUAAAGGCCUACCAAGGCGACGUUCCGUAACUGGUCUGAGAGGAUGAUCAGUCACACUGGAACGGAGACACGGUCCAGACUCCUACGGGAGGCAGCAGUGGGGAAUAUUGGACAAGGGGCGAAGGCCUGAUCCAGCCAUGCCGCGUGUGUGAGGAAGGUCUUCGGAUUGUAAAGCACUUUAAGUUGGGAGGCGUUACCAACAGAAUAAGCACCGGCUAACUUCGUGCCAGCAGCCGCGGUAAUUC